rnacentral:rRNA from 1 species
ACCUGCCCUUGACUUCGGGAUAACUCCGGGAAACCGGGGCUAAUACCGGAUAUGAGCCGUCCUCGCAUGGGGGUGGUUGGAAAGUUUUUCGGUCAGGGAUGGGCUCGCGGCCUAUCAGCUUGUUGGUGGGGUGAUGGCCUACCAAGGCGACGACGGGUAGCCGGCCUGAGAGGGCGACCGGCCACACUGGGACUGAGACACGGCCCAGACUCCUACGGGAGGCAGCAGUGGGGAAUAUUGCACAAUGGGCGAAAGCCUGAUGCAGCGACGCCGCGUGAGGGAUGAAGGCCUUCGGGUUGUAAACCUCUUUCAGCAGGGAAGAAGCGCAAGUGACGGUACCUGCAGAAGAAGCGCCGGCUAACUACGUGCCAGCAGCCGCGGUAAUACGUAGGGCGCAAGCGUUGUCCGGAAUUAUUGGGCGUAAAGAGCUCGUAGGCGGUUUGUCGCGUCUGGUGUGAAAACUCGAGGCUCAACCUCGAGCUUGCAUCGGGUACGGGCAGACUAGAGUGCGGUAGGGGAGACUGGAAUUCCUGGUGUAGCGGUGGAAUGCGCAGAUAUCAGGAGGAACACCGAUGGCGAAGGCAGGUCUCUGGGCCGCAACUGACGCUGAGGAGCGAAAGCAUGGGGAGCGAACAGGAUUAGAUACCCUGGUAGUCCAUGCCGUAAACGUUGGGCACUAGGUGUGGGGCUCAUUCCACGAGUUCCGUGCCGCAGCAAACGCAUUAAGUGCCCCGCCUGGGGAGUACGGCCGCAAGGCUAAAACUCAAAGGAAUUGACGGGGGCCCGCACAAGCGGCGGAGCAUGCGGAUUAAUUCGAUGCAACGCGAAGAACCUUACCAAGGCUUGACAUGCACGAGAAGCCACCAGAGAUGGUGGUCUCUUUGGACACUCGUGCACAGGUGGUGCAUGGUUGUCGUCAGCUCGUGUCGUGAGAUGUUGGGUUAAGUCCCGCAACGAGCGCAACCCUCGUCCCAUGUUGCCAGCGGGUUAUGCCGGGGACUCAUGGGAGACUGCCGGGGUCAACUCGGAGGAAGGUGGGGAUGACGUCAAAUCAUCAUGCCCCUUAUGUCUUGGGCUUCACGCAUGCUACAAUGGCCGGUACAAAGGGCUGCGAUACCGUAAGGUGGAGCGAAUCCCAAAAAGCCGGUCUCAGUUCGGAUUGGGGUCUGCAACUCGACCCCAUGAAGUCGGAGUCGCUAGUAAUCGCAGAUCAGCAACGCUGCGGUGAAUACGUUCCCGGGCCUUGUACACACCG